rnacentral:rRNA from 1 species
CCGCACUUGAGCGUGCCUUGGGCGAGAGUAGUACUAGGAUGGGUGACCUCCUGGGAAGUCCUCGUGUUGCACCCCU